GUAGUAAGGGUGCUUUAUUGGAGGUUUCUGCAUACCUGAAUCCUUCUGAAGGUCCUCAGGUGCUCAAGUGAGAGAAACGUGUGCUUAUCAUGUGCAGUAUUAUCUCCUGUGCUCUCUAAAUACCUCUUUGGUGACAAAAGUUCAUUGCGAGGGACCUCUGGAGAUCGUCUGUUUUAACUUCCCAUGUGAAGUGAAACUGCUGCUGGUGCUGGACCAGGUCAGCCAUGGCUUUUUCUGGACCCGGUUUAUGGAACUGCUGGCAGUAGCUGCAGAUCUAUUUGAAUCAAAAUGAAAGCUGAUGGAAGAAAUCAAAAAUGCAGUGCAGCAGCUCAGUGUUGAUGCAUACCAGGGAUGGUAAAGACCACAUCAAGGAGUGGGCAGGGGGGAACACAAUCUUGGAGCUGAUGUAAUUCUAAAGUAAGAUUCCUCCUGGAGCAUCCAAAUGAUAGGCAUAAGUAGAAGCAGAUGAUUUUCUGGAGAAUCACAGAAUAACAAAGCUGGAAAGGACCUACAAGAUCAUCUAGUUCAACUGUCCUCCUAUAACCAUUACUACCCACUAAGCUACCAUUAUCUUGUCUUGUCCUGCUUGUUUUAGGUUUGUUAAAUGUUCAAGUACAUAUACUGUUGAAAAGAUGAGGACAUAAGAGUCCAACUUGAUUUCAUACACUUUACGAGGUCCGCAGUGUUUCAGCUUCUCAUCUGGGGGGACUUAAAAUGUCUUCUUUCUUUAGUCUUCCUGCAGAUUAAAAUGUUUUGCUGUAGGACAUUGCACACUUUUCACGGAAUAUUUGUACUGAGGUCCUCAGCCCAAUGCUCUCUCACACAGUGCUGAGCAGCAUUGUCUUACUAAAAAAUAAAAAUUAAAAACAUCUAGAAAUCUUCACUAUAAAAUCAUUCCAUUAUAUUAAUUUCCAUUAGAAUCCAUGGUAAAAUAAAGCUAUUGUCAAAUGAUGUCAUAUCUUUGAGAAGUAAAAAAAGCUGAAUAGGUGUUUUUCUAGGAGCUAAUAUUAUUCAUGUAAGAAAAUAUAUAAUUAUUUGCUCACAGACAUAUUCAAGUGCUAGUUUGUUUUUUCCACGGUGAGCAGUGUCAGGUGGUUAUGUGUCAUGGAUUUUUUCAG
rnacentral:lncRNA from 1 species